GACGAACGCUGGCGGCAUGCCUAAUACAUGCAAGUCGAGCGAACAGAUGAAGUGCUUGCACUUCUGACGUUAGCGGCGAACGGGUGAGUAACACGUAAGGAAUCUACCUAUAAGCGGGGGAUAACAUUCGGAAACGGGUGCUAAUACCGCGUAAUAUCUUCUUCCGCAUGGAAGAAGAUUGAAAGACGACUCUGCUGUCACUUAUAGAUGACCUUGCGGUGCAUUAGUUAGUUGGUGGGGUAACGGCCUACCAAGACGAUGAUGCAUAGCCGACCUGAGAGGGUGAUCGGCCACAUUGGGACUGAGACACGGCCCAAACUCCUACGGGAGGCAGCAGUAGGGAAUCUUCCGCAAUGGGCGAAAGCCUGACGGAGCAAUGCCGCGUGAGUGAAGAAGGCCUUCGGGUCGUAAAACUCUGUUAUAAGAGAAGAACAAAUUGUAGAGUAACUGCUACAGUCUUGACGGUAUCUUAUCAGAAAGCCACGGCUAACUACGUGCCAGCAGCCGCCGUAA
rnacentral:rRNA from 1 species